CUCGCCUCGGCGAGGCUGGGGGGCGCCAGCGAGCCCAAGGUCUCCCUGGCGAGCAUGGUAGUACUGAAGGGCUCCCGGUAGGGCGCCUCAGCGUCCCCCGGAGCCCCGGGGGAGGUGCCGGAGAUCUGCCGGCUACAGACCCGGGCAGGUGGGGCUCGUUAGCCGUGGUAGGCAAUUCACCUAGGAGAGCAAACUCCGAACAAUAAACCCGGGCAGGUGGGGCUCGUUAGCCGUGGUAGGCAAUUCACCUAGGAGAGCAAACUCCGAACAAUAAACCCGGGCAGGUGGGGCUCGUUAGCCGUGGUAGGCAAUUCACCUAGGAGAGGGACAACUCCUAACAACAAACACGGACAGGUUGGGCUCGUGAGCCGUCAUAGGCAAUACACCUAGGAGAGCAAACUCCGAACAAUAAACCCGGACAGGUGGAGGUCGUUAGCCGUGGUAGGCAAUCUGCCUAGGAGAGCAAACUCCGAACAACAAACCCGGACAGGUGGAGGUCGUUAGCCGUGGUAGGCAAUCUGCCUAGGAGAGCAAACUCCGAACAACAAACCCGGACAGGUGGAGGUCGUUAGCCGUGGUAGGCAAUCUGCCUAGGAGAGCAAACUCCGAACAACAAACCCGGGCAGGUGGAGGUCGUUAGCCGUGGUAGGCAAUCUGCCUAGGAGAGCAAACUCCGAACAACAAACCCGGACAGGUGGAGGUCGUUAGCCGUGGUAGGCAAUCUGCCUAGGAGAGCAAACUCCGAACAACAAACCCGGACAGGUGGAGGUCGUUAGCCGUGGUAGGCAAUACACCUAGGAGAGCAAACUCCGAACAAUAAACCCGGACAGGUGGAGGUCGUUAGCCGUGGUAGGCAAUCUGCCUAGGAGAGCAAACUCCAAACAAUAAACCCGGGCAGGUGGAGGUCGUUAGCCGUGGUAGGCAAUCUACCUAGGAGAGCAAACUCCGAAAAAUAAACCCGGACAGGUUGGGUUCGUGAGCCGUCAUAGGCAAUACACCUAGGAGAGCAAACUCCGAACAAUAAACCCGGACAGGUGGAGGUCGUCAGCCGUGGUAGGCAAUUCACCUAGGAGAGCAAACUCCGAACAAUAAACCCGGACAGGUGGAGGUCGUUAGCCGUGGUAGGCAAUUCACCUAGGAGAGCAAACUCCGAACAAUAAACCCGGACAGGUUGGGUUCGUGAGCCGUCAUAGGCAAUACACCUAGGAGAGCAAACUCCGAACAAUAAACCCGGACAGGUGGAGGUCGUCAGCCGUGGUAGGCAAUUCACCUAGGAGAGCAAACUCCGAACAC